AUUGAACGCUGGCGGCAGGCUUAACACAUGCAAGUCGAGCGGAGCGAGGGUGCUUGCACCUUAGCUUAGCGGCGGACGGGUGAGUAAUGCUUAGGAAUCUGCCUAUUAGUGGGGGACAACAUUCCGAAAGGAAUGCUAAUACCGCAUACGCCCUACGGGGGAAAGCAGGGGAUCUUCGGACCUUGCGCUAAUAGAUGAGCCUAAGUCGGAUUAGCUAGUUGGUGGGGUAAAGGCCUACCAAGGCGACGAUCUGCAGCGGGUCUGAGAGGAUGAUCCGCCACACUGGGACUGAGACACGACCCAGACUCCUACGGGAGGCAGCAGUGGGGAAUAUUGGACAAUGGGCGGAAGCCUGAUCCAGCCAUGCCGCGUGUGUGAAGAAGGCCUUUUGGUUGUAAAGCACUUUAAGCGAGGAGGAGGCUACUUAGAUUAAUACUCUGGGAUAGUGGACGUUACUCGCAGAAUAAGCACCGGCUAACUCUGUGCCAGCCGCCGCAGUAAAAC
rnacentral:rRNA from 1 species